rnacentral:rRNA from 1 species
UACGGAGGGUGCGAGCGUUAUCCGGAUUCACUGGGUUUAAAGGGAGCGUAGGCGGGCAUGUAAGUCAGUGGUGAAAUCCUGGGGCUCAACCCCGGAACUGCCAUUGAUACUAUGUGCCUUGGAUACUGUCGAGGUUUGCGGAAUACGUCAUGUAGCGGUGAAAUGCUUAGAUAUGACGUAGAACACCGAUUGCGAAGGCAGCAGGCUAGUCAGUCAUCGACGCUGAGGCUCGAAAGCGUGGGGAU